GGACGAUGUGAAAACCUCCCACCGGCUUGGGCCGCAUCCGCAUCCAAUGCCAUUUCUUUGUUCCUUCUUUGGACAGGAGGAAUCCCUGUGCGUCUGGAAGCGAGACUGUCUCAGGAGGGAGCGCAGAUGCUCCAGGUGGAACCCAGAGCCACCCUCGGAAGUGACGACACAGGAAACGGGCAGGCAAGGGGACCGUGCCCUGCCCAGGGGCGGGCAGCACCCACAGACCCAGCAGCGCCUGGGUCUCUACCUGGCUUUCCGCAUCCGAUAGCCUCCACAAGGCCCCAAUGAAUGCUGAGCAGCCUGGGAGGUCCCCACACUGUCCCAGCACAAGCCAGGUGCUGGCGGACGGAACGGGGCCCUCGGGAAACUUGUGGGCCUCACAGCCCCCACGUCUCCGACCGUAAGCCGUCCUUUGGGACCACGAAUCCCACCUGGAGCCAAGCAAGCCCAAGCCCGACGUGACCACAGCCUCUGCUCGGCUUCCGGAGCCCUUCCCGCGCACAGCCGCGUCCCCCAUCGCCUGCUUUGGGUGGGAACGUCCCUCUGGCCAGGGGCUUUGGAAAGGCCACUGAGCACCAGCCCUGCUCAGCCUGGGUGACCUGGGGGCAGGCAGGGCACAGAAGCUGAAGCUGAUCACACGCCCCGCCAGCUUUCCACUGGCUCAGAACCCAGUCCCACGCCCUGAAAACACAAAGCCCGUGCGGUAGCUGCACUGGAACGGGGUGUGAUGGGGGCUCCUGGGCACCCACACACUAAAGAUAUAAAAACACUUUCUCCCAGACCUCUGGGGGCUUCCUUGGGGGCGGGAAGGGACACCCAUCUGCAGG
rnacentral:lncRNA from 9 species